AUCUACAGCAGACCUACAGUGAUAGACAGAAGUGGAUAGCUGGUUCUUGAAGUGUUUCCACCAUGAGACCAAACUACCGUCUGAACAUCCUUCAAGUGUCCAUGUUAGCGGCGCUCUUCUCCACUGCGGAUGCUGACAUGGCGGAAACAUAUAACUGGAUAUUUCUGUUACGUGUUCUUGGGCUCGUGUUUUCCAUCAUAUCGGUGAUUCUAUGUGUUGCAGCAAAAUGUAGGUGUGGAGCCCAGGAGGAUCCAGGGACACACCCGGUCUGAGCCGCCAGCCCUCCCAUGAUGCCUCACCGACCAUCAGCCGAUGUCUGUGCCUUGAAACCAGUCUGUUGUGUCAGAAUGAUGAAUAUGAAAACAUGUCAUUGUAUUCAUUCCAAGAAUUCCUAACCUGUAACUUGUACCUGAUUUGUGUUUAUCAACGCUCAUCUUUGGCUUUAUGUAUUUUCAUGUAAUAUGCUUUGGGAAUAAUUGAUUGGCUUUUUUAUGGCCUUAAAAUAAUCACAUCUUUUUUGUCACAUAAUUUGUUUCCGUAACUGUUUUUUUUCUUCAUUAAAACAA